GGAAAUACUAGUCCUUCCUGCGUGGGAUAUUGUCAACUUUCUUUUUAAAUAGCUGGCCGAAGUCUUAAGAAAAUAUCAUGUAAAAGUUUUGUCCUUAAACCACGCAAAGCCUUGGGAUCUCGAGAAGUAUGCCCAUACAUAUACAUGUACAUAUGCAUACUCAUGUAUUAGAAGGAUGAUGGGAUUUCCUUAACCUCGUCGUAAUCACCACCUUCCAUUUUCUUUUCGCCAGGAAGCUUUCCUCGGACCUGUUAAAAAAAGUUAUCUGUAAACCUGAAAUAUAAUACGAAGUCCCGACGUGUUUUACAGAUAAAUCUCACCCAUGAUCGAGAAAAGGUUAUCUGUAUAAACAUGCAAAUAUUAUAAAGUAUUAGUAUAAGCAGUCGCUAAAAUAAUAUUUUGCACACUAAUUAUCUCACCUGGCAUUGACAAGCAGAAAUGAGGCUCAAGAUAAGGGUCCCCAACAAAAUAAAGGCCCCCUUCAUAUUGUGUCGUACUUGUCAUCCAACUUAUCACAACUGGCAAUUACUUUGAUCGCAAGCCAAGUUUUUAUAUAAAACGCCCCAGAAGAUUAUAUUUUUUGUAGAAGAGGUUUGCCUUGCCAUCCUUCAUCACCCUGUUGGAAAUCCUGCAGAUCUUUCGUUUUGUUACUGUUAGUCAUGAAAGCUGAAAGAUCAUCAGAUACCGAAGUGAAGUGGAAGUAUGUGCGAUACAAAAAGACGCGAGCGAAAAUAAAUAGUUAUUGCUCGUGGCGUUAAAAAGAUCAGAUCUAUUAGUUUAAGUGCUCAAUCCAUUAUUGCUCAAAUACAUGAGAAGUAUUGAUUCUUAAUGUUUUCUUAGAAUAGUCUUCGAGUGGGGGCACUACUGCCCACUGGGUAGUAGGCGGACAAAUGCAAUACAAAUAUGUCUGUCUAGUUUGACAGUAGAAUAAUAUGCGUGCAGAUUACAGAUAUUUAUACAUAUGUGUAAGGGCCUUACUAAGGACAGUCGCAUUUUAUUUUUUAUUAGAAAGUAUCACGUGAUACAAUUCGCGUUUUGUAUUGUAUCCUGGAAAAUUCAUACAUACAAACACGUUUGAUAUACAUGUAUAUCAAAUGAGCACAAUACAAUUGAAGUUACCACUGAUGAGUUAAAAAAUUUAUGGAAUAUUUUUAUUUUGAUGUUUGCGAUGAGAAGACGAAAAAUUCCAAAAUAGCAAGCAUUGCGUAUGCAUAGUACGUGUAUCAUCGCUCCGUCGUAGUCCGUUCGAAGGAAACCAUUGACCCACAAACUUCUCAACUAUAUAUUCUUAUAUUCCGAGAUUGAAAUCGUUUGUUUUUUAGGUAAAAUACCUAAAACUUUCCCAUUACAAUUAUCUACACGUUAGGCAGUUCGGGAGCUGAUUGUUCUUAAAGCGACUUGCUAAUUACCCACAUAAAGUAUUAUGCUAUUGUAAGAUGUCUUAUCAUCUCAUCGCUCGACAUGGAAAACGAAAUGCUCUCAAUAUAUAGUAUCACAUAGUUUAUUUAUGUAUGAAUCUAAGAUUCAUAAUCAAGGUAAAAAAAAUGUUACCAUUCAUUAUAAUGAGUGAACUGGCAAAAAUGUUAGCCACUUGCCUAAUGUACAUAGUCAAAUGACCUAUGAUUCAUUGGGAAAAUCAGGCUAAUUAAUGUUUGCUGACCUAUUUCAAAACACGUAUAUAUACAAUUUAUUUGCCAAUUGUUCAUCGAAAAGUGUAGAAUUUGAGGAUUUUCAAACGACAAUUCUUCAGCAAAACGUUUUCUUUAAAUAUGAAGCUUGGAAAUUUUUUCCUCGUCAUGUUACUGGCGUUGAUGAUCGGCACGUCUGCAGCGUAUCCCACCAGAGGUGACAAACCUUCAUGUGCAAGAACAAAGAAAAUAUGGGCUCCUUGGACAUACGCGGGCGCACAAGGUUAUCCAAAGUUCAAUUGGUAAGAUGGUCUAAUAAACCUCUUGUUGACAUCAUAAUAUUGUUGAGACA